rnacentral:lncRNA from 1 species
ACCACUGAGCCACUCGGGAAGCCCAUCUGAUGUUUGACGUUGGCCAGUUUUUUAGAAGGCAACACAAUCCCCUGGGCGAAGAUGGUAUUGAACACCCAUAGUUAAAGGAAGAAAACUGGAAGGAGACAGAAAAUCCAGCUGGGAAGUGGACACAUGGCCUGGUUUCCCAGAAGUCUCAUAUGCUCAAACCACAGAGGGUUUACAUUCUCUUUUAACAUGAAAGGCUACUCAUACUCAGGUUUUAGCACUGGGCCAGCAGGAAAGUCAGCUCACCAGCUGAGAGGAGGAGAAAUGGACGCUGCUCUACAACACUGCCUCCAGGCUAGAGAGGAGGACAUCUAGGCCUGGCUGACAUCCACCACUCAGACCAUCCCAUACCCUUUGGCUCAGACUCCAUGUUCACCAAGCAAACUUUUGAUUGCAUUUGGCUUCAUGUAGAGACUUUGCCACCGAGGAGAGAACACACUGACCAGUUAACAGCAGUCAAUAUCCCUGAGUUCACUCAACUCUCAGUGAAUUGAAGAAAUCAUAUCUCUAGGCUGCCAAAGCUCGAGUAUAGACCUCAGACUGCCAGCUCACCCAGAUAUGUCAUGGCUGACAAAAAGGUUUGCCUCUGAAAUUCUUCAGUUACAGCAUUUCUCUUACUGUUAGUGACAGGGGCUUGUUUACCUUCAAGAUCAAAAUCUUAUUGCACUUAGAUUUAUUACAAGAAAAAACUCUUAAAAAAAAAAAGUUUCUUGAAAAUUUCUCGUCCUAAACUACAUAGAAGUCGACACACACAAAAAAAAUUUAAGAGUUUCUACUAUUAAAGCAAUACAAAAUGAAGGAAUCAAAUAAUAUUAUUUUGUUUACAUGGGAGAGGAAAGCCAAGACUGCCAACUUUUGUAGUAAACAGAUAAUUAAGCACUAAAAUACAAUGCUCUAAAAAUAGUCACAGCACAAGCCUAGCAUUAUAUUUAUUGUAUGACUCAUAGUUUCUUAUUCAUGUCUGGAAUAUUGUUUUCUAAAAGCAAAAGAUAAAGAUGUCAUCUGAAGUCAACUCAUAGAGGAAACAAUGCCGACAUGAACUCAGCUGGAGGAUCUUAGCUGGUGAGAUUUCCACCCAAAGCCAACUUACCAUCACUCUUCACUAACUGAGUGAUUUUUCCUAAUCAAAUAAUAUCUGUGAAUUCACGUUUGGGCAAAUCAGCCUUUGGCAUAGUCCAGAGCAGUUAUGAUUUAAGCUGAAUUUAGGAA